rnacentral:misc_RNA from 1 species
CCCCUGCACCGUCACUUUUCUUCCUCGGGCAUAAUCGCGAAACCAUAACGGAGAAAACCUGAAGUCUUCAAUCCGAUCAAUCGGAUCACAUUCGCAUCAACGAGGAGAAGCAGAAACCAGAAGCAAAGAAGAAGAUAAUGUCAGGGUCCGCCAUGGUGGGAGAUCCGAGCUCCUGGUCGCGCGCGUUGGUAAAGAUUUCUCCUUACACAUUCUCCGCCGUUGGCAUCGCCAUUGCUAUCGGCGUCUCUGUUCUCGGCGCUGCCUGGGGAAUUUACAUAACUGGAAGCAGUUUGAUUGGAGCUGCGAUCAAGGCUCCUCGCAUUACUUCUAAAAAUCUGAUCAGGUAACAGGCCUCAGGUUUUCUCAAUCCUUGUUGAAUACCAUCAUUGGGUCUGGCCAUGGUGUCUUCGUCUGCUUUUUGUCCCUGUAACCCUAGGUGUUAAGAUUUCGAAUUUUAUGUUCAAUUGAUUUAACGUAAGGUUCCCUGAUACUUUAUUUUGUAAUCCAUUAUUGUCACACCUGAUAUUUAUAAUCUCGUUUCAAAGAUUCAUCCGCACUACACGGUCUAUUGAAUACGAUGAUCUUUUGGACUGUGGAAGUAGAAGAUAAUCCAGAAGAAAUGAGCUGAAUUGGACACCGUUUAUUAUUCUCAGUGAUGAUGUGAAGGGACUAGGAAGCAAAAAUCUCAAUCUAGUAAAUUUGAUUUUUCAGAACCCAUUUAGCUUGAACUGUCUCACAACUUUAAGGAUGAAAGAAUCGGCAAAGUUUUUGGGAGUGUGAAGGAUUUGGGAGAGUUAAGAAUUCAAAAAGUGAUGUCUCUUUCUAUUAUACUAGAUCUCUUGAGUUGUAUGCUUAUUGAUAAUUUUAUAGGCUUAGUAUCCAACAUGCCUUUUUAUUUAAGUUUAUAGGCUUAGUAUCUAACUUGCCUUUUUAUUUAAGUUUAUAGGCUUAGUAUCUAACUCGCCUUUUCAUUUACUUGGAAGCUAGAUCAUCCUCAUACCAUGUUGUCGUUUCAAUUUUUCUGAUAGUUUUAGUUGGAUGCUCAUAUUUCUAUCUGCAGCAUUGCAACCACAAAGUAUGUGUUUAUUCUGAUUAUGAUGUUUUCUAACUGGCAAUAAUGUUGACUUUAAUUUCAUCUUCUUUAGCAUUUUAUAUAUUUUAGAUUUUGGAAUACAAGUGAUGUUAAAUGGUAAUCUGAUUCAAUGGCCUACUUUUCUCAGUGUAAUCUUUUGUGAAGCUGUUGCUAUAUAUGGUGUUAUUGUGGCGAUUAUUCUACAAACAAAACUAGAGAGUGUUCCUACUGCACAGAUAUCUGCUCCAGAGUCCCUUAGAGCUGGAUAUGCAAUAUUUGCCUCUGGGAUCAUUGUGGGCUUUGCUAACCUUGUCUGUGGGCUGUGUGUAGGAAUAAUUGGCAGCAGCUGUGCACUGUCUGAUGCUCAAAACUCCUCACUCUUUGUGAAAAUUCUUGUGAUUGAGAUCUUUGGUAGUGCGCUUGGGUUGUUUGGAGUGAUCGUUGGAAUAAUUAUGUCAGCUCAAGCGACAUGGCCUGCAAAAACAGCGUGAUUGUUGUUCUUUCCAGAACACGAAAAUCAAUCGUGACGGAGUGCAUAUUUGUUAUGCAAUGCCAAAUAGACUGUAUUUUAUUCUUUUAAUAUUUCUUGUUAGGCAUGUAAAAACUGAUAUGGAAAUGAGAUGCUAUCUUCUUUUGAUUUCAGUCGUAGACUGCAUUUACCCAACUGAAAAAUAAGAUCUUGAGCAAAGAAGUAUUGGUGCAAUUUGAAGAAUGGUUGUUUAAUCUCCGGCUUGUAUCAUACCAUGUUGUUGUAGUCGUUUGCAUGAGAUGUUUCGAGUUGGGAAUGGCUAGAUGCCUCCUGAUUGUUGAUGUUGACCUUGUAGAGUUGCAAAAGGAAGAUGUUUAGCUUAACGGUUACAAGUAAUAAAAGGCAUUGAUCAUUUUUCAGCCUUAUUGGAAAUCCUCGUGAGGUUCAUUUUCUUCUAUCUUAAUCUAGUUCAAUACCAAUGAGAUCCAUGAUUCCACCUGUCUCUUAAAAUGCUUAUGUUGAAGAAUUCAUUAAGUUUUUAAUGUCUUGACUAAAAACAGACUCCCUAAAAAGGUUUCUAUCUUAUAUAGUAUAAAAAUAAUUUUUCUUUUUUAAAAGCCGAUUCUUAAGAGAAAAUGAUUUAAUUCAGA